ACUCGGCUUCUAGCUUGGGGUCUCGCACCGCGCCUCGAGCCCGACCAGCCUGCGGUGGCGCCGUCUCGCUGAAAGGGGGAGAGAGAAAGAGAAAGAAGAAAAGAAAAAUAUCGCCGGCAUCGGCGACGAAGGCGGAGCAGCAAUGCGAUCGUCAGAGCACGCAUUUCGACGGUGAGAUUCGGAAGCUCGAAGGCGUCACCGGCACUGCGAGAAAGCCGGUGAAGUACUUUGGGACCGCCGCGUAGGCGUCUUGACAGUCCGCUCCCGAGACAUCGACGACACGCUCCAAGAUGAAGAUCGAGAACCUGCUCAUACGGCAGCUCAUCAACGAGUUCCUCGGAACAAUGAUUCUAAUUACUAUCGGCGACUCCAUCAUGGCCAUCAUCAUCGCCGGUGACAACGAGUCCCUGGCUGCUUGCGUGGGGCCCUUGGGAUGGGGCGUCGCCAUCUACGUGGCCGUGCAAAUCUCCGGAGGAGUCUCGUCCCACCUGAAUCCUGCCGUGACGCUGGCCCAGGCGUCCGUGCGCAAGUUUCCGAUCGCCAAAGUGCCGCUAUACUUCGCGGCUCAGUACCUGGGCGGCUUCGUCGGUGCGGCGCUCGUGUUUGCCACCUACAAAGACGCUAUUGAACACUUCGACCAGGGAAUCCGCCAAGUGACGGGAGAGAAGGCCACGGCUGGUAUAUUUGCAACUUACCCUAGACCACACGUCUCCACUCUGACCUGCUUCAUUGAUCAGGUCAUUGCAACGGGCAUAAUGAUGGUGUGCGUCGAGGCCAUCGGCGACACUCGCAACUUCGGCGGCAUUCCGCCGCAUAUUCACCCAAUCUGCUUGGGUCUCAUGAUCAUGGCGAUUAUCUUCAGCUUCGCCUACAACUGCAUGUGCCCGCUCAACCCGGCCAGGGACAUCUCGCCACGGCUCUUCACGCUCAUGGCCGGGUGGGGACCCGAGACGUUCACUCUCCGCGGAUGGAACUACGUGUGGGUUCCUCUGCUCGGCCCUCACAUCGGCGCCAUACUGGGCGUGUGGCUGUACAAGGUGGCUAUCGGUGACCACUGGCCCGAGAAGCCGAAGCCAGCCAUCUCAAUGGAUCAUCCAGUCGCCGUGGUGGUCGCCAAGAAAGCACCAUCUCGGACGCCUCCUGCCCUUUCUCCUUCCGCUGCGCCGACUACGUCGACUUCGCCUCAGCCUGCGGCUCCACAGGCCACCGAUGUCAAUGCCGGCUCUCCUGCGAAGGCCUAGUUACGAAGCGACCCCCAUUGUGUGUGUUUGCCCGCAUCAGACGUCAUUCAUACACCGGACGGCAAGGAGACGAAGGAGGACCUGGUGGAGACACUGUACAAGGUCGACGGCGACAAGAUGGUGCUCGAGCUGGAACCUACCCAGCACCAGCGGCUGUGAAACCUCGUGCGUGCCCCCGCUGCUACACAAGUAUCGCCCGGAGCUGCGCCGAACGGCUAGCGUUUACGCCCGCACGUUUGUCCAGGUGGACCAACAACGGGUGUCACUUCGGAUGGCGGUGUCCCUCAGAUGACACAACGCAAGCCGUUCGCCCCACUUCGUACUGACGAGCUAUUCAUCCGAAAGAACCCUGGCAACCCCGCACAUCAUUGUGUGGCCUGCCAGGCCGGCAGUUUCUCUGCAGAUCACCCCUUUGGACUGAUGACGGCACGGGAAAUGGAAGAUGUACGCCGUGCAACUAUUGCGCCACGUUUUCUGUUCUACGAGAUUGGGCCGUCGUGAAUGGUGGUCACGGAAACAUCGCUAGGGCUUUUUUUUUCAUUUUGUAUUUCUAGAGAGUUAACGACGCGAUGUGAUCCGAUAGUAUACUAAGCCUACUCUAAACUAAAGAGCAUGGAGGAAGAAAUCAAGUAGGAGAGAGAUUUACCUCGCGCGGCCAGCCUUGACCAGGGAAACUCCUCUGGCAGUCAUUUUUCUCCUUGUUGUACCUCACAGUACCGUCCUAAUACGUGAACACUGAGAGACAGCGCACUCGCCGUGGUAUUGGUCGAUAGUGCUUAUUCGGUUGCACGGCCAUUACUUAGUGCCUGCACGCGCGCUCGUCACUUAGUGAUCACGUGUUAGGCCGAUACCUUUUUGGCUUCAAUCGUGCUGGACUGCAAUCUUUUUUGUUUAUUCUUUUCUCAGUGUCAGAGCUAGGAGCAGGUAGACGGAAACUUUUCCAAAUUAAAAAAAAAAUUAAACGGCAUAAGCUGCUUUACUGAGAGUUCGACUGGUGCUUCUAAGUGCCGAGCAUUGUUUUUCAAGGUGGUUUUGUCAUGUCCACAAUUGGGAAAUAACUUCAUGUUAUCGGCCUAUGGAGAGGUCACGUGGCACGAGUAAUGCUACCAGAACUUCUAUUUGACCAUUAGUGAAACCAGGGGACGUCGCUCCACUAACAUUACACGUGUGCAUCGACGCGACUGACAGCAAGUCUACAUUGCAUAGAGAUAUGUUCUAAAUAUUGCCCCGCAUGCCUCAAGUGCUUGGUCAUUAUUCAUCGGGUUUAUUACAUGCUACUCGUUCCUAUAUAUUCUUGAACAUGGGAUGUUUUGAAAGCAACCAAACGAAGUGAGAGUAAUUAUCCGCCAGAAUGUACUGCAACGCAUUGCUGACGUAUGCGGACAGGGUUUUUCUCAACUACAGCGCUUGACAAAUCACGCCUAGGUUUUAUAAAUACAAAGCGUCGGUAGCUAUUUUUGGAUGUAGCAGGUAGAUCAUUUCACGGAGUUUAGUUUAUGUAUGAGUGAACCUCGCGUGUUUAUUUUGUUGGCGACGCGCCAGAUGGGCACCUGUUUCAUACACUUUUGUUGAAGAGUGAGUGGACUAUAGCGUGUAAUAGGGUGGUUUCUGCUUCUGAAUGGAGAGACAAGUGUCCUGCAGAAGUAUAGAUAGAUAGUUUUGUGGCCACUUGAACUUGACAGUAGUUAAGCAGAGUUCGGUGGUUAUAUGCCAAAUAAUGAUGUUAUUGCACGAAAGGAGUGUUAGACGAAACAGUCACGUACGACUUUACAAGCCUGACUGCUGUACGCAAUGUAACUUCAGCAAUAUUAUUAAUAAGCAAAGUCCUGCUCAAAAUUAAGAUUUGCUCACAGACAAUAAAGUAGUAAAAUUUGUACAUCGCCAACUAAUGGUUACAACUCUUUCGCUUAUUAUUUAUUCAAAUAAACAAAAAAAGUAAAAUUUUCUGAAAAACAAUGCCGAUUUAGUUUUGAGCCAUUAUUAUGAUGAAAAUUUUGAUAAUGCGUUGAUUUUCACAUGCUGUGACUUGGUUAAAAAUUAGUCUAUGAAAAUCUGGCAACAUUAUGUUAGCGUAAACAAAUGGCAAUAGGCAUGUAGGCCUAUAAGCCCGUCGGCAUCUUGGGUCUCUGCUUCCUUUCACGAAUCAUGUUGGGCUGGCUUCUACAUAUGUGAGCUGAAGCAAUUGUUGCCCGAAAUACUAAGUAGGAAAGUUCGCUUCGUAAAGCGCAAUAAAAAAUGCUCACGUACUUGUACGUUCAAGGCAUCUGAGUUUUCAAAGUUUUUAUGCUCUUUUAGUGCUGCAAUAGCUGUAUCAAUAUAUUAUAUCGUUGAAUCUUAUGUAAGUGUAAAAAAAGUAUGCUCAAGUAUAAACUGCUAUCCCUCAAUAAUCUGCAAUAUCUACAGCAUUGAAUUAAGUCGCAAAAUAUUGGUAUUUUCUUACUCCCGUGCCUUCCAGGCAAGAGUCUGUAGAAAUUUCAAUCAAUAACGGUUACAAUGCAGUGAAACCCGGAAAAUAUUGUAUAAAAUAACACAAUAUUAAAAAACUACAGAAAGGGAAGAUAGAAGCUCGCGAUGAAAAAAAAAAAUCCUGUAAACAAGGGUGGCGUCAAACCGACGCUUCGACAAGGGCACUUGUCUUCCGCAAGGCUAAAACAGAAUGCAUAAAUUACGGCUAAUGCCUCAUACGAGAAGAAAAAAAUUAAAUACUGCAAGCACUGGCUUUUUCGGUGUUGAGACAAACUUGACUCUUAAGUGAACGUCGGCCAAAUUACUUUUCGUGAGUAGAUGACAAUGACGGUCGCCCAAAUGUAACACACUUGAAUUAGCACACGCAAACGUUGAGCGUGAAAUCUCAGAAAUUUUGCGAGUAAAUGUGCCAAUCUUUAAAGAAAUGUAAACAUCUCCGACUGAACUUUGUUUAGAACGUCCGAAGACUCUUGAAAAUGAAGUGACAUCAGCCAAUGUUUCAAUCAAUCAGUUUAUUAUCAUGUCAUAAAAGGUAGUCCCGGCGUCGUCUCGGGUUCAGUUUGGUUCCUUCCUCAAAGAUUGAGUUGACCAAAUAGCUUACGCAGUAUAGGCCUUAAGCCUUGACUGGUGUUACAAUAGUGUCGAGAUGUCAAUUUCUUUCGGUGCGGUGCGAAACGUCAACUGUAAUCAUAUCAAGGACAUUAGUAGCCACACAAGCAUUGAUCAUACCGCACAUUAACAGAUGUCAUAUACAUCUUUCAUUUGGACGACGCCAAUUGUGUGAAACGUAGCAGUGCAAAGCUUCGAACGUAUAGUGGCCAGCAUGUUCCAAACUGAAAUGUAGUUCCGCACGACGUUGUUCCUGAAUACUUUUAACCGAGUGGGCGGCAACAAAUACCAGCAUGUAAACAUCUGUGGUUCGUUCGAGAAAGCUUUUCGUAAGUGAAAUAAACGCACUGUCGCUUAACGCCAUGACUCUCAACGGGCUGUUGAUGCGGACAUUGCUAUUUGAUGGCACGCACGAACAACAUUGUGUAUGCGUGGCCGUUGUAUUAAGUGUGGACAUUUGUAUUAAGAAGUAUGUUUUUGUGCGUAACGUAUCUGUGUUGUUUGUCGUCAUCACGAAGGUUUACAGUGUCGUAAGGUAAGAACUUUAGAGUGAACUGAAACAGAUUCAAACAGCGUAAAAGUUUACAAAAUGGCGAGACAUCCGUGGGUGAAUUUCUGUGCGCGUCUGUCGCCGAUUAUUAUAAUUAGUCUUAAACGCGCUCCACUUGGUCUGAUUGUACGCGUCGCGAAUAUUGUCUAGCCUGUCAAUAUAUAUGCGCAGGUCAAGCUGCUUUGAAUAUGUGAUAUGGUUCACUUUUCUGGAUGACAAACCGGUGAACGAGCUGUCGCUGGUGACGCUCGUGUGUUUUUGUGUCAAAGUGUUGUUUCUGCCGCAUCUUGUAGCCGCUACUGUUGCUGAAACCAAUGCUUUGACAAGUCGCCCAAUAAAACUGCAUGUCAUCUUAUAUGAAA